GGCUAACGCUGGCGGCGUGUCUUAGCCAUGCAAGUCGAGCGGACUUAUGGGGUAACUUAUAAGUCAGCGGCGGACGGCGGAGUAACACGUAGCUAACCUACCCUCUGGACGGGGAUAACCUACCGAAAGGUGGGCUAAUACCCGAUGUAGUCAUCCUGUAUAGGGGUGAUGAAAGGUGGGCUUCUGUUUACAAGCUCAUGCUGGAGGAGGGGGCUGCGGCCUAUCAGGUAGUUGGUAGGGUAAUAGCCUACCAAGCCGAUGACGGGUAGCCGGCCUGAGAGGGUGACCGGCCCGAGGGGCACUGAGAUACGGGUCCCACUCCUACGGGAGGCAGCAGGCUAGAAAUUUGGGCAAUGGGGGAAACCCUGACCCAGUGACGCCGCGUGCAGGAAGGAGCCCUUCGGGGUGUAAACUGCUGUCGUGUAGGGAGAAGGGUACUAAGGUGAACAAUCUUAGUACUUGACGGUACUACAGGAGGAAGCCCAGGCUAACCUCGUGCCAGCAGCCGCGGUAAGUAUAGCGUACU
rnacentral:rRNA from 1 species